AACGCGAAGAACCUUACCGGGGCUUGACAUCCUGCGCUAUCCUAGGAGACUAGGUUUCCGGGCAACCGGACGCAGAGACAGGUGCUGCAUGGCUGUCGUCAGCUCGUGCCGUGAGGUGUUGGGUUAAGUCCCGCAACGAGCGCAACCCUUGCCGUGUGUUGGUCGCAAGAUCUCUCACGCGGGACCGCCGGUGACAAGCCGGAGGAAGGUGGGGAUGACGUCAAGUCAGCAUGGCCCUUACGUCCCGGGCUACACACGUGCUACAAUGGGAGGGACAACGAGUCGCGAACCCGCGAGGGCAAGCUAAUCUCACAAACCCUCUCUCAGUUCGGAUUGAAGGCUGCAACUCGCCUUCAUGAAGUCGGAAUCGCUAGUAACCGUAGAUCAGCUACGCUGCGGUGAAUACGUUCCCGGGCCUUGUACACACCGGAGUA
rnacentral:rRNA from 1 species